rnacentral:rRNA from 1 species
GACGAACGCUGGCGGCGUGCUUAACACAUGCAAGUCGUACGGUAAGGCCCUUUCGGGGGUACACGAGUGGCGAACGGGUGAGUAACACGUGAGUAACCUGCCCACAACUUUGGGAUAACGCUAGGAAACUGGUGCUAAUACUGGAUAUGUGCUCCUGCUGCAUGGUGGGGGUUGGAAAGCUCCGGCGGUUGUGGAUGGACUCGCGGCCUAUCAGCUUGUUGGUGGGGUAGUGGCCUACCAAGGCGGCGACGGGUAGCCGGCCUGAGAGGGUGACCGGCCACAUUGGGACGGAGAUACGGCCCAGACUCCUACGGGAGGCAGCAGUGGGGAAUAUUGCACAAUGGGCGCAAGCCUGAUGCAGCAACGCCGCGUGCGGGAUGACGGCCUUCGGGUUGUAAACCGCUUUCAGCAGGGACGAAGCUUUUUGUGACGGUACCUGCAGAAGAAGCACCGGCUAACUACGU